UGAGUAAAGUCCCUCAGCACAUGGAAAUGGC
rnacentral:piRNA from 1 species